CCAGCCAUGCCGCGUGAGUGAUGAAGGCCUUCGGGUUGUAAAGCUCUUUCGGCCGGGACGAAAGGGCCCGGGCUAAUACCCCGGGCGCUUGACGGUUCCCUGCCAAGAAGCCCCGGCUAACUUCGGGGCCGCAGCCCCGGUAAUACCUAAGCGGCCAACGUUUAGUCGCAAUUACUGGGCGUUAAGCGGGCGGAGGCGGGUUUGUAAAACCGAUGUGAAAUCCCCGGGCUUAACCUGGGAACUGCCUUUGAAACUGGGGGGCUUGAGUGCGGGAAAGGGAGGAGGAAUUUCCCGUGUAACARUGAAAUGCGUAAAAAUGCGGAGGAARACCGGUGGCGAAGGCAGCCCCCGGGCCGGCACUGACCCUUAAGCCCAAAACCUGGGGAACCAACCGGAUUAAAUACCCUGGUAUCCCCCCCCUAAUCCAAGUCAACUAGUGGUUGGGGGUU
rnacentral:rRNA from 1 species